UCGCCUCUUGAAUUUAUUGGAGGUCCAGCCUGCCCAGUGACUCUUGUUCAACGGCCGCGGUAUCCUAACCGUGCGAAGGUAGCGUAAUCACUUGUUUUCUAAAUAAAGACCAGUAUGAAAGGCAUCACGAGGGUCUAACUGUCUCCUCUCUCUAAUCAGUGAACCUAAUCUCCCCGUGAAAAAGCGGGAAUUUUCUUAUAAGACGAGAAGACCCUAUGGAGCUUAAAACAUCUUUACACGUGCCCCACCAUCUUAUACUCUGGUACCCCCACACACCGCACGAUGAUUUUAUGUUUUUGGUUGGGGUGACCGCGGAGAAAACCCAAUCCUCCGUAUUGAAAGGAAUUGUUUCCUUAACAGAAAGCCACAACUUUAUGUAUUAAUAUAUUAACACCAUUGACCCAAUAAAUUGAUUAAUGAACCAAGUUACCCUAGGGAUAACAGCGCAAUCCACUUCCAGAGCCCCUAUCGACAAGUGGGCUUACGACCUCGAUGUUGGAUCAGGGUAUCCUAGUGGUGCAGCCGCUACUAAAGGUUCGUUUGUUCAACGAUUAAAACCCCACGUGAU
rnacentral:rRNA from 1 species